UACGUAGGGGGCAAGCGUUGUCCGGAAUCAUUGGGCGUAAAGAGCGUGUAGGCGGCCCGAUAAGUCCGCUGUGAAAGUCCAGGGCUCAACCCUGGGAUGCCGGUGGAUACUGUCGGGCUCGAGUCCGGAAGAGGAGUGUGGAAUUCCUGGUGUAGCGGUGAAAUGCGUAGAUAUCUGGAGGAACACCGGUGGCGAAGGCGGCAUCCUGGACCGGCAUUGACGCUGAGGCGCGAAAGCCAGGGGAGCAAACGGG
rnacentral:rRNA from 1 species